rnacentral:rRNA from 1 species
UACGUAGGGGGCUAGCGUUGUCCGGAAUCAUUGGGCGUAAAGCGCGUGUAGGCGGCCCGGUAAGUCCGCUGUGAAAGUCGGGGGCUCAACCCUCGGAUGCCGGUGGAUACUGUCGGGCUAGAGUGCGGAAGAGGCGAGUGGAAUUCCUGGUGUAGCGGUGAAAUGCGCCAGAGAUCGGGAGGAACACCCGUAGCGAAGGCGGCACUCUGGGCCGGUAUUGACGCUGAUGCGCGAAAGCCAGGGGAGCAAACGGG